ACUGAUUUCUCUUGUGCAAUAUAUAAUUGGUUCUAGAUGGCCUAAAGAGAGUGGAAGGAAGAUGUGCUGCUGGUAAUUACAAUCGAAUUCAGUCUGGAGCGUUGAUACUUUUCAAUAAAUGUUUGUUGUUUGAGGUUCAGGAUGUACGUCAAUACCCUUCAUUUUAUGCGAUGUUGAAAGCGGAGAGUCUUGAUAACGUUCUUCCUGGAGUAAAAACAUUAACAGAUGGUGUUCAAGUAUACAGGAAGUUCUACUCUGAAGAGAAAGAACUGUCCAAUGGUGUCCUUGGGAUUCAUGUCAAAAAAUCUGUUGUCCAGCCAUACAUUAUUUUGUCCAAUGUUUUUAACUGCAGAUUCAUGAAAGUUUAGAG